GCACUAUUGAGGGGUCCCAUACUAGGACGAAACGGCCGUCUAGUGC
rnacentral:hammerhead_ribozyme from 1 species